GAAAAAAAAUACAGAAAUUAACUCCCAAACCCAAUGUGAACGUUACCAAACUGUUGCCUCGGCGGGAUCUCUGCCCCGGGUGCGUCGCAGCCCCGGACCAAGGCGCCCGCCGGAGGACCAACCAAAACUCUUAUUGUAUACCCCCUCGCGGGUUUUUUUAUAAUCUGAGCCUUCUCGGCGCCUCUCGUAGGCGUUUCGAAAAUGAAUCAAAACUUUCAACAACGGAUCUCUUGGUUCUGGCAUCGAUGAAGAACGCAGCGAAAUGCGAUAAGUAAUGUGAAUUGCAGAAUUCAGUGAAUCAUCGAAUCUUUGAACGCACAUUGCGCCCGCCAGUAUUCUGGCGGGCAUGCCUGUCCGAGCGUCAUUUCAACCCUCGAACCCCUCCGGGGGGUCGGCGUUGGGGAUCGGCCCUCCCUUAGCGGGUGGCCGUCUCCGAAAUACAGUGGCGGUCUCGCCGCAGCCUCUCCUGCGCAGUAGUUUGCACACUCGCAUCGGGAGCGCGGCGCGUCCACAGCCGUUAAACACCCAACUUCUGAAAUGUUGACCUCGGAUCAGGUAGGAAUACCCGCUGAACUUAAGCAUAUCAAUAAGCGGAGGAAAAGAAACCAACAGGGAUUGCCCCAGUAACGAA
rnacentral:rRNA from 1 species